rnacentral:rRNA from 1 species
CCCUUAGAUGUUCUGGGCCGCACGCGCGCUACACUGAUUCAUGCAACAAGUUUUGUCCUUGGCUGAUAGGCCUGGGUAAUCUUUGAACGUGAAUCGUGAUGGGGAUAGAUGAUUGCAAUUAUUCAUCUUCAACGAGGAAUUCCUAGUAAACGCAAGUCAUCAGCUUGCAUUGAUUACGUCCCUGCCCUUUGUACACACCGCCCGUCGCACCUACCGAUUGAAUGGUCCGGUGAAAUCUUCGGAUCUGAGAGAUGUCUGAUUAAUUUCGGACGCCUUUUGGAAAAGUUGCUUAAACCUUACCAUUUAGAGGAAGGUGAGGUCGUAACA